GACGAACGCUGGCGGCGUGCCUAAUACAUGCAAGUAGAACGCUGAAGGAGGAGCUUGCUUCUCUGGAUGAGUUGCGAACGGGUGAGUAACGCGUAGGUAACCUGCCUGGUAGCGGGGGAUAACUAUUGGAAACGAUAGCUAAUACCGCAUAAGAGUAGAUGUUGCAUGACAUUUGCUUAAAAGGUGCAAUUGCAUCACUACCAGAUGGACCUGCGUUGUAUUAGCUAGUUGGUGAGGUAACGGCUCACCAAGGCGACGAUACAUAGCCGACCUGAGAGGGUGAUCGGCCACACUGGGACUGAGACACGGCCCAGACUCCUACGGGAGGCAGCAGUAGGGAAUCUUCGGCAAUGGACGGAAGUCUGACCGAGCAACGCCGCGUGAGUGAAGAAGGUUUUCGGAUCGUAAAGCUCUGUUGUAAGAGAAGAACGAGUGUGAGAGUGGAAAUUUCACACUG
rnacentral:rRNA from 1 species